rnacentral:rRNA from 1 species
CCUACGGGAGGCAGCAGUGAGGAAUAUUGGUCAAUGGGCGAGAGCCUGAACCAGCCAAGUCGCGUGAAGGAUGACGGCCCUACGGGUCGUAAACCUCUUUUGUCAGGGAGCAAUUGCGUCCACGUGUGGGCUUAGCGAGAGUACCUGAAGAAAAAGCAUCGGCUAACUCCGUGCCAGCAGCCGCGGUAAUACGGAGGAUGCGAGCGUUAUCCGGAUUUAUUGGGUUUAAAGGGAGCGUAGGCGGAGUGUCAAGUUUGCGGGAAAAUUUCGGGGUUCAACCCGGCCGUGCCGGGGAAACUGGCGUGCGUGAGUCAGCGGAAAGCAAGCGGAAUUCGUCGUGUAGCGGUGAAAUGCUUAGAUAUCACGAAGAACGCCGAUUGCGAAGGCAGCUUGCUGCAGCGGAACUGACGCUGAGGCACGAAAGCGCGGGUAUCGAACAGGAUUAGAUACCCUGGUAGUC